UAUAUCAGGUGAGGGGAAGCUUGAUUGCUGAUCAGGAACAGGUGGGGCGAAUGAUGAACUCAGGGGUAGAUCUGCGAAAAGUGACAGGAGGGAGACAAAAACACCACAAAACAGAACCAAACAAGACAUGCCUACAAACAUACAGCAUGCAUAAACCCCAGACGUAACAGUGUAUGACUGGUAUUGUAUAGAGAAUCAAAACAAGUUUCCUCUGCCCAAACUGCGGGCCUAACCAUUCGGCCAACCAAGCAAACGAUUCACCCCAGUUCCGUGCCCCCACAACCGUCCUGCACAAACCAGAUUCAGUCCAGUUACAUGACCCUUUGAACCCUACACACACAACAGGAAUUUCAAAGAAACUGUUAGCAAUCAGUAUGCAGAAAGACUGAGAAACUCAAGAAGUGAAUGAAGAGCAUCAACAACCACAUGCUUAACCUCCGGGCAAGAGAGAAUUGCAAAGUGGACCUUGAUCCUGAACCAUGUUUGAGAUGUCCAUAUACAUGAGGAUCCUCUCUACCCCAAGUGCGAGCAUUCGAUCCGCAAGACAAAUGACCAGAGUAAAUGGCUCCAAGUUGGUAUUUCACCAAUAUACAGGUUAAAUGUAAAAAAAGACUACACAGUUAUUUACCUGAGGACAUUGUUGUAAUAUGCUGAACUGUAUGGUUAAUGGUUUUCCAAUAUAAUAUUUUCUUAUGUCUGCAGCAACUCCCAACUUUCUACAAGUUUUUAUGUUGCUGACAUGAUUGAACUUAUUUUGUCUUUCCCAACCUUACGCCAUACACGAGGCACUGUUUGAGAUCCCUGUCACAGAUGACCGUACAUCACAGUAUGAGAAGCCUGACAAGGAGGCGGUCAUCGGUAGCCUUGAAGGUUCAAAAGGGGGGCCGUUUAAAACCAACGUAUAGUGGCCUUCCUCAUUAGAAAACUCUGAGCGGAUGCGCAAGACCACACAAGCUGGAAUAACCCGGAUUCUGCGUCCCAGCACCAACUCGCAAAUGAACGAUAGGAGAGAUACCUGUAGCGACUGAACAAUUGAUUCAGUGGAUUUAGUCUUGCAGAGAUUUAUCAAUGCAUUGU
ensembl:lncRNA